rnacentral:lncRNA from 1 species
AUAGGGAAGAGAAGGAUACCAAGAGGAAGAGAAGGUGCUGGAGAAUUCUGAAUUCCUGGGAAAAGCUGACAAAAGGAACACUCCUGUGGUCCUUUGAGAUGGAAAUUGGGAAGCUGCUCAGGGCUUUUGCUCACGCAGAUUGAAUCUUCGUUGGCUGCUAUCCAGUUUGCCAUUUCUACUUCAGCGUCAGAAUGUUUUCAGCUUAAUGCUUUCUGGGCCAGCCUCUUAGGUAUGGACAGAGAUGAGCUGGCUUCGCAUCAACACACACCGGAUAUACUUGAUCCCGUCUGAGCUCUCUUGUUACCUUGUAUUAUUGAGUAAUGGUCACCUUGACUGGAUUAGGACCCUUCCCAAGAUUUCCUGCAAGAACAUGGUCACUUCUGCGGAUGCCCCCCAGUACAUAGUUGUAUAUUCUUCGCCGUGGGUCCUUCUAGUUGUGGCAUGUGGGACGCUGCCUCAGCGUGGUUUGAUGAGCAGUGCCAUGUCCG